AGGACGAACGCUGGCGGCGCGCCUAACACAUGCAAGUCGAACGAGCGAGAGAGAGCUUGCUUUCUUGAGCGAGUGGCGAACGGGUGAGUAACGCGUGAGGAACCUGCCUCAAAGAGGGGGACAACAGUUGGAAACGACUGCUAAUACCGCAUAAGCCCACGGCUCGGCAUCGAGCAGAGGGAAAAGGAGCAAUCCGCUUUGAGAUGGCCUCGCGUCCGAUUAGCUGGUUGGUGAGGUAACGGCCCACCAAGGCGACGAUCGGUAGCCGGACUGAGAGGUUGAACGGCCACAUUGGGACUGAGACACGGCCCAGACUCCUACGGGAGGCAGCAGUGGGGAAUAUUGCACAAUGGGGGAAACCCUGAUGCAGCGACGCCGCGUGGAGGAAGAAGGUCUUCGGAUUGUAAACUCCUGUUGUUGAGGAAGAUAAUGACGGUACUCAACAAGGAAGUGACGGCUAACUACGUGCCAGCAGCCGCGGUAAAACGUAGGUCACAAGCGUUGUCCG
rnacentral:rRNA from 1 species